AUUGUAUUUGUUCUGAUUAUUAUUAUUAUUAUUAUUAUUUUUUUUUUUUUUUUUUUUCUUCCGCCAAAUUUUGUUCUUGCGAUAAAUGUUUGUUUCACAAUAUGUCGCUUAGAUAUUUCUCAUAUGGUAUCGUAUAGUUUAUGCGCUUUUAAAUUUCACCCUGCUUAGGCGAACCAUUUUCUUUGUAAGAGUUAUCUCCCCUUUCACUGUUUAUCAUCAGAGUGUAUCUCCUCCGUAACCGUAGAAAAAUGCGACAAAUUUAUUUUAUAAAAUUGUUCGUUAUAUCCUUCGCAUGAUUUGUCCUAUUUUAACCGAAGCGAUAUGAACACUCCAUAUGAGAGUUAUUCCCCCUUUUGCAUUUGAUAUUAGUAAUAUGCAUUUCUAACUGGUAAACCAUAGGUAAUAGAGACCUAGGGUCUUUUGAUUUAAGGUCCUUGGUCCAAAAAGAUGAAAAUUAGGUCAAGGUCAAAGGUCAAGGUCAUAUUAUAAAUUUUGAUUUUGGCUUAUUUUCACUUUUCUUCAAAAACCGUAUAACAUAUCGACAUGCUAUUUUUACUGAAUUGUUAGUAACGACAUGUCGUAACUUCAUAAUUUUGGUUGAAAGGGUGCGUAGUCAAUAAAUGGGAGUUUUUAGCCCCUUUCAUAUCUAAAAUUAUGCGUAAAGUGAUAUAACUCAUUAUCCAUGCAUAUUAGAGACCUCGGGUCUUUUAAUUGGAGGUCCUUGGUUUGUGACCUUGAAAAUAAGGUCAAGGUCAUAGACAAAUUUGACGUUCUAGAUUAUGACCUUUACUUAAAAUUCAUAUCUAUACAUCAUAAAG
rnacentral:lncRNA from 1 species